rnacentral:rRNA from 1 species
UACGUAGGUGGCGAGCGUUGUCCGGAUUUACUGGGCGUAAAGGGCUUGUAGGCGGUUCGUUAAGUCUGGUGUGAAAUCUCCCGGCUCAACUGGGAGAGGUCAUUGGAAACUGGCGGACUAGAGACGGGUAGAGGAAAGCAGAAUUCCCGGUGUAGCGGUGAAAUGCGUAGAUAUCGGGAGGAAUACCAGUGGCGAAGGCGGCUUUCUGGGCCUGUUCUGACGCUGAGGAGCGAAAGCGUGGGGAGCAAACCGG